rnacentral:rRNA from 1 species
UACAGAGGGUGCAAACGUUGUUCGGAUUUACUGGGCGUAAAGCGUGUGUAGGCGGUUUGGCAAGUCGGAUGUGAAAGCCCCGGGCUCAACUCGGGAAGUGCACUCGAUACUGCUAGACUGGAGUGUGGGAGAGGUUGGUGGAAUUCUCGGUGUAGUGGUGAAAUUCGUAGAUAUCGAGAGGAACACCGGCGGCGAAGGCGGCCAACUGGACAAACACUGACGCUGAGACACGAAAGCGUGGGGAGCAAACAGG